rnacentral:rRNA from 1 species
UACGUAGGGGGCAAGCGUUGUCCGGAUUUACUGGGCGUAAAGAGCUCGUAGGUGGUUUGUCGCGUUGUUCGUGAAAACUCACAACUCAAUUGUGGGCGUGCGGGCGAUACGGGCAGACUGGAGUACUGCAGGGGAGACUGGAAUUCCUGGUGUAGCGGUGGAAUGCGCAGAUAUCAGGAGGAACACCGGUGGCGAAGGCGGGUCUCUGGGCAGUAACUGACGCUGAGGAGCGAAAGCGUGGGGAGCGAACAGG